rnacentral:rRNA from 1 species
CACCGCGGUUACACGUGAGACCCAAGAUGAUAGACUACGGCGUAAAGGGUGGUUAGGGGUAAACAAAAACUAAAGUCAAACGCUUUAAAUGCUGUCAAAAGCGCUCAAAACUAUGAAGCCCAACCACGAAAGUGACUUUAAUAACCCUGACUCCACGAAAGCUGGGGAACAAACUGAGAUUAGAUACCCCAUUAUGCCCAGCCCUAAACAUCGAGCAAUUACUUACAUCUAGCUCCGCCUGGGUAGUACGAACAUAAGUUUAAAACCCGAAGGACUUGGCGGUGCUUAAUAUCCACCUAGAGGAGCCUGUUCUAGAACCGAUAAUCCCCGUUAAACCUCACCCUCUCUUGCAAGUCCCGCCUAUAUACCACCGUCGCCAGCUUACCCUCUGAGGGAGCCUAAGUAAGCAGAAGUGGCAAUACCCAGUACGUCAGGUCGAGGUGUAGCGUAUGUCAGGGGAAGAAAUGGGCUACAUUCGCUAACUAUAGCGAACUACGAAUACUGCUUUGAAAAAAGCAGUUGAAGGAGGAUUUAGAAGUAAGCAGGAAAUAGAGUGUCCUGCUGAAACCGGCUCUUAAGCGCGCACACACCGCCCGUCACCCUCUCCAAGCUUAGUACUAAAACUAACUAAAACACUGCAACUGCAAAGGAGAGGAAAGUCGUAA